GACGUAGGGCGCGAGCGUUGUCCGGAUUUAUUGGGCGUAAAGAGCUCGUAGGCGGCUUGUCGCGUCGUCCGUGAAAACCCCGGGGCUCAACUCCGGGCUUGCGGGCGAUACGGGCAGACUAGAGGUAUGCAGGGGGAGAACGGAAUUCCUGGUGUAGCGGUGAAAUGCGCAGAUAUCAGGAGGAACACCGGUGGCGAAGGCGGUGGUCUGGGCCGAUACUGACGCUGAGGAGCGAAAGCGUGGGGAGCGAACAGG
rnacentral:rRNA from 1 species